rnacentral:sRNA from 1 species
GCCAGGUGUGGUGGCUCACACCUGUAAUCCCAGCCCUCUGGGAGGCAGAGGUGGGAGGAUCGCUUGAGUCCAGGAGUUCAAGACCAGCCUGGGCAACAUAGUGAGACCCUGUCUCUA